CCCCUUUCAAGAUUGCACCUGGAGAGUUUCCAGUACACUACCAGUCUUGGCUACAGGAGAGAGAGUCAAGCAGAGGCAUACCCAUUCCAUUCCUAGCUUGGGCAGUGCCUAGGGAAUGGAAGGCAAUCUGCUACAAGU
rnacentral:snoRNA from 1 species